rnacentral:misc_RNA from 1 species
AACGCACAUUGCGCCCUUUGGUAUUCCGAAGGGCAUGCCUGUUCGAGCGUCAUUAUCACCCCUCAAGCCCCGUGCUUGGUGUUGGACGGCCGGUCGAGGUUCGCCCCGACCCCUCCUAAAGACAAUGACGGCGACCUGUGGUUCCCCCGGUACACUGAGCUUUUCGCAGAGCACGUACCGGACGAGGGCGCCCGGGUCACGGUCCCCUCCUCCCCGUGAGGAAAUAUUUUUCAAGGUUGACCUCGGAUCAGGUAGGAAUACGCGCUGAACUUAA